rnacentral:rRNA from 1 species
GUUCCGUACCAAGCCAUCUUCGACAUACUCUCCAGGACGCCGGUAAAGUCCGUGUGCCGGUUCCGGUGCGUGUCCAAAGGGUGGCGCAACCUCAUCUCCAGCCCCGUCUUCGCCGCCGCGCACAGGUCCUGCCACGGCCCGCUCCUCGUUGACGCCGGCUCCUUCGAGGAAGAAGAACCCGUGGGAGACCGUGACAUGCGGCUCAUGGACAUGGACGGCAACGUCGUGAGGGUCAUCAAGGGUGCCGGAGGCUAUGGGAUGAUGUGCAACACCAGCCUCGACGGCCUCAUUUGCGUCAACGGCGCUUCUUGCGGUAGCGUCAACGUGGUCAAUCCGGCCACAGUGGAGGUGCUCGUGACCUGCCCACAGGUGGACGUGGUAGACCGCGACGCCUUUCCUUAUGUUACGAUAGGUUACUACACCAUCUUCGGCUUCGGCCAUGCCGUCCCAUCCGGUGAAUACAAGAUGGUGCGUGUCCUCGACGACCACACAUGUGAGAUCCUUACAUUAGGAGACGGCAGAGGUUGGAGGAAAGCGCAUGCACUUCCAAAGGUCCACCCCUGCUCUCGUCGAGGCUCUCCGGUCACUAUCGAUGGCAUCAUGUACUUUUUGGUGAAAUGUAACGACCACAGUUUGCUCUGCUUCGAUUUGGAGAGCGAGCAAUAG